rnacentral:hammerhead_ribozyme from 1 species
AUCCAGCUGACGAGUCCCAAAUAGGACGAAAUGCGCGUCCUGGAN